GUCGUUUGCAUACGUAGCGAUGUUGAACGAUUUCUGGUGGUUCCUAAAACGCUCCUUGAAAGUUGUAGCCGUAAUUCCAAUAUAGUGCCUUGUUUCUCCGUUGUCCUCUGCUGCGAUCUUUGCAUGGUAGACAAUGCCUUUGGUUAAACAUUUCUUGUUGAGAGGACACGUAUUCUUAUCUCUGCAGUUGCAUGUUUUGUUGGUGGGUGGCGCAGGUGUUGGUGUUGGUUUUAAUGGUGGUGUUGGCGUUAACGUUGG